rnacentral:rRNA from 1 species
GUGGGGGAUAUUGCACAAUGGGGGAAACCCUGAUGCAGCGACGCCGCGUGAAGGAAGAAGUAUCUCGGUAUGUAAACUUCUAUCAGCAGGGAAGAAAAUGACGGUACCUGACCAAGAAGCCCCGGCUAACUACGUGCCAGCAGCCGCGGUAAUACGUAGGGGGCAAGCGUUAUCCGGAUUUACUGGGUGUAAAGGGAGCGUAGGCGGCGACGCAAGUCAGAAGUGAAAGCCCGGGGCUCAACUCCGGGACUGCUUUUGAAACUGCGUUGCUAGAUUGCGGGAGAGGCAAGUGGAAUUCCUAGUGUAGCGGUGAAAUGCGUAGAUAUUAGGAGGAACACCAGUGGCGAAGGCGGCUUGCUGGACCGUGAAUGACGCUGAGGCUCGAAAGCGUGGGGAGCAAACAGGA